rnacentral:rRNA from 1 species
UGGGGAAUAUUGGACAAUGGGCGGAAGCCUGAUCCAGCCAUGCCGCGUGUGUGAAGAAGGCCUUUUGGUUGUAAAGCACUUUAAGCGAGGAGGAGGCUACUUGGAUUAAUACUCUAGGAUAGUGGACGUUACUCGCAGAAUAAGCACCGGCUAACUCUGUGCCAGCAGCCGCGGUAAUACAGAGGGUGCGAGCGUUAAUCGGAUUUACUGGGCGUAAAGCGUGCGUAGGCGGCUUCUUAAGUCGGAUGUGAAAUCCCUGAGCUUAACUUAGGAAUUGCAUUCAAUACUGGGAAGCUAGAGUAUGGGAGAGGAUGGUAGAAUUCCAGGUGUAGCGGUGAAAUGCGUAGAGAUCUGGAGGAAUACCGAUGGCGAAGGCAGCCAUCUGGCCUAAUACUGACGCUGAGGUACGAAAGCAUGGGGAGCAAACAGG